UUCAGCCUGGGUGACACAGUGAGACCCUGUCUCUAAUUAAAAACAAAAAUUAGAAUAUUGCUCCUGUGCAAUAUCAAAUGCUUAGUGGAUCUAGGUGAUGAUUGUCAAUGACUGCUAAUAAUACAUGAAGAAACAACCACAUAUUAUAUACUACUAAUCUAUGGAAAUAAGGGAGGGAGAAAUACAUUGAGAAACACUGCAGGAAUGCUAUCAGAAAAGUCCAGAAUAUAAGAAAUUCUAUAUCAAAUAACAUUUUUCAACAAAAGAAACUGAGAGAAAAGAAAAAGAAAUGAAAGCACAAUUUGCAGGUUAAAAGAAGAGUCCUCAAGAAUCUGGGGAAGAGAACUGAAUGAAUGAGAGCUCGUGGCAGGAGGGAGAAUGUCCUCUGAACACUUCUCCUUGCUGCUGCCCUAUGAAGAAGGACA
rnacentral:lncRNA from 1 species